UACAGAGGUCUCAAGCGUUGUUCGGAUUCAUUGGGCGUAAAGGGUGCGUAGGCGGCGCGGUAAGUCGGGUGUGAAAUCCCCGGGCUCAACCUGGGAACUGCAUCCGAGACUGCAUUGCUAGAGUAUGGGAGAGGAAAGCGGAAUUUCUGGUGUAGCAGUGAAAUGCGUAGAUAUCAGAAGGAACAUCAGUGGCGAAGGCGGCUUUCUGGACCAAUACUGACGAUCAGGUGCGAAAGCGUGGGGAGCAAACAGG
rnacentral:rRNA from 1 species